UCGACGGCAGCACAGAGGAGCUUGCUCCCUUGGGUGGCGAGUGGCGGACGGGUGAGGAAAACGUCGGAAUCUGCCUAUUUGUGGGGGAUAACGUAGGGAAACUUACGCUAAUACCGCAUACGACCUACGGGUGAAAGCGGAGGACCUUCGGGCUUCGCGCAGAUAGAUGAGCCGACGUCGGAUUAGCUAGUUGGGGGGGUAAAGGCCCACCAAGGCGACGAUCCGUAGCUGGUCUGAGAGGAUGAUCAGCCACACUGGAACUGAGACACGGUCCAGACUCCUACGGGAGGCAGCAGUGGGGAAUAUUGGACAAUGGGCGCAAGCCUGAUCCAGCCAUGCCGCGUGUGUGAAGAAGGCCUUCGGGUUGUAAAGCACUUUUGUCCGGAAAGAAAAGCACUGGGUUAAUACCCUGGUGUCAUGACGGUACCGGAAGAAUAAGCACCGGCUAACUUCGUGCCAGCAGCCGCGGUAAUACGAAGGGUGCAAGCGUUACUCGGAAUUACUGGGCGUAAAGCGUGCGUAGGCGGUUUGUUAAGUCUGAUGUGAAAGCCCUGGGCUCAACCUGGGAAUGGCAUUGGAUACUGGCAAUCUAGAAUGUGGUAGAGGGUGGCGGAAUUCCCGGUGUAGCAGUGAAAUGCGUAGAUAUCGGGAGGAACAUCCGUGGCGAAGGCGGCCACCUGGACCAACAUUGACGCUGAGGCACGAAAGCGUGGGGAGCAA
rnacentral:rRNA from 1 species